rnacentral:rRNA from 1 species
GAUCCUGGCUCAGGAUGAACGCUGGCGGCGUGCCUAACACAUGCAAGUCGAACGAUGAAACCGCCCUCGGGCGGACAUGAAGUGGCGAACGGGUGAGUAACACGUGACCGACCUGCCCCCCGCCCAGGGACAGCCCCCCGAAAGGGGGAUUAAUACCUGGUACUCCGGAAGCGGCGCAUGCCGCAUCCGGGAAAGCUCCGGCGGCGGGGGAUGGGGUCGCGGCCCAUCAGGUAGACGGCGGGGCAGAGGCCCACCGUGCCGACG